AUUUUGUCGAGAUGCUCGUAACCGUCUCUGUCUGCCUGGUCAAUAAAGCCCUGCAGCCGACAGCCUGAUGGACACUUGGCGUCCUGCACAGAGACUGAAUUCGGUGACUGGUUUCACCUUUUACCUUCAACUUCAAAAUAUAGAAACAUGAGAAGAGCUCUGACCUCGUCCUCGUCAGUACACAGCGGGUGUUUGCUCUCUGGACACCGUCCAUGUCUCGGGUCAGCGUACAGAGUGGGCCGCUUUCGAGAGCGAACUAACUAACACUCUGAAACACACAAAACACACACACUUCAAUAUUUAAAGAAAACAGGAACGCAGAUUCAGAGGAGAAUUAUUCUGCAUGAAGUUUAUUGAGGGAACUGCUAUAAAGUCAUAUCUUCAUGCUUCUGGAGGUCACCCAAACUUUUUCACUGAAAAAUUGAAUUUUUUUUGGAGUUUUAUUUGGAACAUAUUUCAUCUCCGAAUAAUUUUUUCAUGAUCUUAUCACAGUAUAAUAACUCAUGAGUGAAACUCUGUCAGUGUGUAAUAGUGCAUGUACUGGGAGGUAAUAAUAUUCAGAAUAAUAAUAGUCAUCAUCAUCAUCAUCAUCCAUAUUAGUGCAGUUUCUGCAGGUUUCCAGAGACCCCACAGGACACAGUGGUGGUGUAAGGAUAUCUUUCUGAGAAAGAUUCAUUGCUUGUGUGAUGUUUAUAAAUAAAGAAAUGACACAAAAUAAAGUGAACACAUUUUUUUAUUAUUAUUAUUAUUGAAAACAUCACAUCAGUUAAUUGUGCAGUAUUUCACAUGGUCCUGAACACAACACGCAGAACUGACCACUGAAUUCAGAGAGGUCUAAUCUUCAUUCUGACCACUUUAAGGGAAUAAUCGGCCGGUUUAAAAGGCAGCCACACGACUCCAUUCUCUACCUCAUAGGGAACUUUGCUAGCAGGAUCGUACUUCCCCUCCUUGUAGUAAAUCCCAUUAAGGUUGGCAGACUGGCAGUUAUUGUACCACCAACCGCCCCCAUAGAUC